rnacentral:rRNA from 1 species
AUGGAGCCCCCCUCCUUCUCCGGUGACUCUUCUCAGGCCCGACCCCCUACCUCUUCCCCCUCCCUCUCCUGUACUUUGAGCUAUACCAGCUCUGUUUCAGAUUCUGAAGGCCUCUGUACCAUACUUUUAGUUUCAUUUGCAAUCACAUACAAUUUUCUUGUUUUGUCUUCUGAUUCACUUCUCUCGACAUUUGUUUGUGUGCCACUUAUUAUGGCCAGCUUGGCCAUUUUCUCUGGAAGGAGUCACUCAACUCAAAAAGAACAAAGAACAAAUAAUAAAGACUAUUUUAUUUUUCUUGCAAUAAUUCAGGUUGAUUGUUCCGACCAUUCAGGUUGCAGGAUUUGA